UUCGGGGAGCCCUUCGACUCCACGCUUCCUGUUAGAAACAGCUGUCCACUGUUAACAGAGCCAGCCAGCAAGCAGGAGAAUUCCACCUCGGGGAAGCUGCGUUUAAAGAUAAAUAUUUUCCCCCUAUCUGGUAGAUUGCUUGGGUUGAAGGCGUUUUCUAGGGAUCACAGGGGCAUGAUAAUCGGUGUUGAUAAUGGGUGCGCAAACAGUACUUUCUCUAAAGGCCAAACAAACAAGACAAAGGGGACGUUAGGAGGAGUCCCCCCCAAAACAGGAUUUUCUGAAAACCUGACGGGGUGGAACAGCUCUCGGAUGUGGGAAGAACACCAAAACUCAGCUCGGCCAGACAAGCAAGCUGAAAUGUCCAGGUGUAUGGCUUGUAUGCGUGUCUUUGCCACUGUGUGCCUGGUGCCGGAGAAGGACGAAAGAGGAAGCCAUGGGAUCCUGUAGGCUUGAAGUGAGUUGCACAUGCACUUCAAUGGUUUGAGACAAGUUCACACGCAUAGUCCUGGCUGUCCUGGAACUCAUUCUGUGGACCAGACUGGCCUCACAGGGAUCUGCCUGACUCUGCACUGGCACACGCUUUAUUGACUUAUUUUGGGGAUGGGCACAAGUGCACCAGGGUAGAGAUGACAGCGUCGCCUGUGUGCUCUCACCUUCUACUGAGUGGGUCUCUAGGACAUAACUCAAAUCCUCAGCUUUGAUACCUAUUGCCUUUACUCUGCCAGCCUCUGGCCAGCCCCGCAUUUUUGAAAUCUUGAAACAAAGCAUACAGUCUUUGA